UGCAGAGGGUGCAAGCGUUGUUCGGAAUUAUUGGGCGUAAAGCGCGUGUAGGCGGCUAUGCAAGUCGGGUGUGAAAGCCCUCAGCUUAACUGAGGAAGUGCGCCCGAAACUGCAAAGCUUGAGUACCGGAGAGGAUGGCGGAAUUCCCCAAGUAGAGGUGAAAUUCGUAGAUAUGGGGAGGAACACCGGUGGCGAAGGCGGCCAUCUGGACGGAUACUGACGCUGAGACGCGAAAGCGUGGGUAGCAAACAGG
rnacentral:rRNA from 1 species